rnacentral:rRNA from 1 species
UACGAAGGCCACAAGCGUUAUCCGGAUUUAUUGGGCGUAAAGGGUGCGUAGGAGGCGCGGUAAGUUUCUAGUUAAAUCUCAGGGCUCAACCCUGAGGCUGCUAGGAAUACUGCCAUGCUCGAGGACGUUAGAGGCAGAUGGAACACACGGUGUAGGGGUGAAAUCCGUUGAUAUCGUGUGGAACACCAAAGGCGAAGGCAUUCUGCUGGGACGUUCCUGACUCUGAGGCACGAAAGCGUGGGGAGCAAAA